GAAGUUCAGAUUAGGCAUUUCCGGCCCAGGGGGCUUGGCUCCCCGCGGCACGGGAUUUAGCGUUCGCGCUCCUUCCCUUCCCGUGGUCGAGCCGACUCUGCCCACACCUCAGGACAAGCUCAGAGACCUAGUGAUGGCUGUCAUGCAGCUCCUUCUUGGUGGGCUCCAAGUGAGUGGUCCUCAUGGAGUCUCUUCCAUGUGACCUCAGCCUUUUCUCAGCAGGAGUCUGUCUAUAAGGAGCUGGUCCCAGAGGGUGGACAGCUCCCUGUCUCCACCGAUGUCCUCAGUUCCUGAGUUCAAGUCCCUGAAAUGUACUUCUCACUGUUUUACUGUCCCUGGACCAGGUCCUGACCUGAGGGCUGCAUCAAGAUCUUGUCAUUCCACAUCGUGGUUUCCUUUGAGGAUGUGGCUGUACCCCUCUCCCAGGAGGAGUGGGACUGUCUGAUCCCUGCUCAGAGGGGCCUCUACAAGGAUGUGAUGAUGGGGACCUAUGGGAACCUACUCUCAUUAGUAGGUGAAUGGUUAAGCAAACUGUGGUACAUCCAUACCAUGGGAUACGACUCAACAAUCAAAAGGAACUGCCCAGACUUCACCACGAUGCAAUAUAUGCAUGACUUCAAGCUUCCAAACCUGAUGUCAUCUCCAGGCUGGAGCGGGGGGACGAACCAUAGACCCCUCACAUCCUGAGAACUCAGGGGAGCUGGAGCUGGAGGCACAAGAGAGAAGGCUGUGAUUCUAGGAUUGAAAAAGAGGAAAUGAUUCCAAAGCAGGACAUUUCUGAAGAAUUGGAAUCCCAGAGAGCAAAAUCAGAAGAUCAUGUAAGGAAUAUUUUUAAGGAAACUGAAGAGAUGAGUAAAACUGAGGGAAAGUUAGAGAAUUGCUGGAGAAAAUAUGCAGUAGAAGGAGUUAAGAACUCAUUCUCCCAGAAGAGCAAUUUCAGAGAAAUUACCAUGAGGUAUGUGAAAACCCUCUCUAGAGAGAAUGGCCAGAAGUUCAAUGCUGUUGGAGAAAACUGCAUUACAGACUCAAAUCCUGCCAAACAUCUUAGAGGGUCUAGAGAGGAGAGUCUCCAUCCAAGUGUGUCAAGUGUAGAAAACUUGCAACAACAUGAGGACCUCAUUAACCUCCAGAGUUUCCAAUUAGGAGAAAGAGCCUAUCAGACAGAUGUGUUAGUGAAAGUGCCCAGACAGAGCUCAGUUCUUAGUGAGAAUCAGAGGAUGAAUAAUCCAGAGAGAUGGUUUGAGAGUACUGGGUGUGGAAAAACUUACAAUCAGAACAGAGCUUUUAACCAGCACCAGAGAUUUCAUAGUGGAGAGAAGACCUAUGAGCACAAUGAAUGUGGAAAAGCUUUCAGUUGGCCCUCUAUCCUCAGUAAACAUCAGAGAAUCCACACUGGUAAGAAACUCUACACAUGUGAGGAUUGUGGCAAAUCUUUCAGUGUUCACUCAUACUUUAUUCAGCAUUGUAAAAUUCACACUAGAGAAAAACCCUAUGAGUGUAUUAAAUGUGGGAAAGCUUUUAGUACACAUUCAUCUUAUGUUCAACAUCUAAAAAUUCAUACAGGAGAGAAACAUCAUGAGUGUAAUCAGUGUGGGAAAGCCUUUAGUCAUAGCUCUAAUCUAAUUCAUCAUCAGAGAAUUCAUAGUGGAGAGAAACCUUACAAGUGCAAAGAAUGUGGGAAAGCCUUCAACAGACAAUCAAACCUUAUUCAGCAUCAGAGAAUUCAUUCUGGAGAGAAACCUUAUGACUGUAAGGAGUGUGGCAAAGCCUUCAGUACACAAUUAUUUCUCAUUCAGCAUCAGAGAAUUCAUACAGGAGAAAAGCCCUAUGAAUGUAAUGAAUGUGCAAAAUCCUUUAGCCUGAACCGAACUCUUACUGUCCAUCAGAGAAUUCACACUGGAGAGAAACCUUAUAGGUGUAAUGAAUGUGGGAAAUCCUUUAGUCAAUGCUCACAAGUUAUUCAACAUAAGAGAAUUCACACUGGAGAGAAACCUUAUAUCUGCAAUGAGUGUGGAAAAUCAUUUGGUGCUCGUCUAUCCCUUAUCCAGCAUCAGAGAAUUCACACUGGAGAGAAACCUUAUGGUUGUAGUGUGUGUGGGAAAACCUUUAGUCAAAAGGGACAUCUUAUUCAGCAUCAGUGAAUUCACACAGGAGAGAAACCCUAUGAAUGUAGUGAGUGUGGAAAAGCUUUCAGCCAGAGUUUUAAUCUUAUUCACCAUCAAAGAACACACAAUGGUGAGAAGUCCUAUGAAUGUAAUGAAUGUGAUAAAGCCUUCAGUUUGCUUUCUUCCCUUGUUCAACAUCAGAGAAUACAUAAUGGAGACAAAC
ensembl:lncRNA ZNF252P zinc finger protein 252, pseudogene